rnacentral:rRNA from 1 species
UACGAAGGGGGCUAGCGUUGCUCGGAAUCACUGGGCGUAAAGCGCACGUAGGCGGAUUGUUAAGUCAGGGGUGAAAUCCUGGAGCUCAACUCCAGAACUGCCUUUGAUACUGGCGAUCUUGAGUUCGGGAGAGGUGAGUGGAACUGCGAGUGUAGAGGUGAAAUUCGUAGAUAUUCGCAAAGAACACCAGUGGCGAAGGCGGACUCACUGGCCCGAUACUGACGCUGAGGUGC